GAGCGUUUGCGUAGUGAUGCUUGGCAAGUAGAAGAAAAUGAGUAAUUAAAUGACCUCCUGUUUCCCAUUGUCCAUGUCUAGUGACAUGAUACAUCCUGGGGCAGGGACAGAGCGCAGCCAGUUUCUGGGGAGUGUGGCACUAAAAGGGUUUGAAGAAUUACAGUGGCAAUUAGUUUGGCGGUGAUUAGUCUAUAAGAGAGUUCAGCAGUUGGCUUCUGCCCAGUCGUCUUUGCUGCUGUGAAGGUAGUGCUGCAUUGUGUCCCCUCGGGAAAGCUGCCUCUGCUGCUGUUAAUUGCAUCAUCCAGCAGCAGUGCAGUGAAAUUCAGAGCUUCUGGCCCAUUUCGUAGCUGCAGCUGGCUGCACCCUGUGCUGAGCUGAGCUUGUCUGUGUCAGCGUUGUCCUGUUUUCCCCAUCCGCUCUUGCUCAGAACUCCUUCCCCCAUGCCUCUGAGGGGUUUUGAUUGUGCCUGUGGUUAUCUGUCUCUGCUUCUGGGGUGGUGCAAUGGGGCAGGGAGAAAGGAGGCUGUAGGUGGGGGGGCAUUUAGGGGAGGAAUCUUGUGAUGAUAGUACGCACCCAGGUCUGCACGUGCAGGUAGCCAGCGUCAUGCCGCUGCUGGGGGAGCCUGUGCUCUGAGCCACCCUGCUAGAAAUGUGUGUUCAGUACCUGUGCCACAGUGCUACGAUGCUCUUUUGCUCUAUGCCGUGCUCGCAAAUACUGCCCAGCCUCUGGCCCCAUGCAGGAGCGUAUGAAUGCUGGCAGCUCUGCUUCCCCAGUGCUUCCUCAGGGCAUGCACAGUGUUAUGGGAGGCAAGGGUACUGCAAGGCCUCUGUGUGGCAUGGAAAUAGGAAAGAGCUUAUAGGCCACUGAUGGGAGCCUCAGAAGAUGAUGUUGUUAAUUGCUAUGUGACCAGAAGUCAGCAGGGGACAGAACAAGCUCCUCUGGGGGGGUACAGGGCAACCUCAUCUGUAACCCAUGACCUGUUUCUGCUCUCAAACCAUGCAGUCUUGAGUUUGGUUUUGUACUUUUGUUUUUAGUUCUCCUUGAAUAAAAGUUUUUUCGUUUUGU
rnacentral:lncRNA from 1 species